rnacentral:rRNA from 1 species
UACGUAGGGGCAAGCGUUGUCCGGAUUUAUUGGGCGUAAAGAGCGUGUAGGCGGCUUUACAGGUCCGUUGUGAAACUCGAGGCUCAACCUCGAGACGCCGGUGGAAACCGUAAAGCUAGAGUCCGGAAGAGGAGAGUGGAAUUCCUGGUGUAGCGGUGAAAUGCGUAGAUAUCGGGAGGAACACCAGUGGCGAAGGCGCUCAUCUGGCCCAAUACUGACGCUGAGGCGCGAAAGCUAGGGAGCAAACGGG